rnacentral:rRNA from 2 species
GGUUAAGUUAGAAAGGGCGCACGGUGAAUGCCUUGGCACUAGGAGCCGAUGAAGGACGGGACUAACACCGAUAUGCUUCGGGGAGCUGUAAGUGAGCUUUGAUCCGGAGAUUUCCGAAUGGGGAAACCCACUGUUCGUAAUGGAACAGUAUCUUUAUCUGAAUACAUAGGAUAUUGAAGGCAGACCCGGGGAACUGAAACAUCUAAGUACCCGGAGGAAGAGAAAGCAAAUGCGAUUUCCUGAGUAGCGGCGAGCGAAACGGAAUUAGCCCAAACCAAGAGGCUUGCCUCUUGGGGUUGUAGGACACUCUAUACGGAGUUACAAAGGAACGAAGUAAAUGAAGCGACCUGGAAAGGUCCGUCGAAGAAGGUAACAACCCUGUAGUUGAAACUUCGUUCCCUCUUGAGUGGAUCCUGAGUACGGCGGAACACGUGAAAUUCCGUCGGAAGCUGGGAGGACCAUCUCCCAAGGCUAAAUACUACCUAGUGACCGAUAGUGAACCAGUACCGUGAGGGAAAGGUGAAAAGCACCCCGGAAGGGGAGUGAAAGAGAUCCUGAAACCGUGUGCCUACAAGUAGUCAGAGCCCGUUAACGGGUGAUGGCGUGCCUUUUGUAGAAUGAACCGGCGAGUUACGAUCCCAUGCAAGGUUAAGCUGAUAAGGCGGAGCCGUAGCGAAAGCGAGUCUGAAUAGGGCGUUUAGUAUGUGGUUGUAGACCCGAAACCAGGUGAUCUACCCAUGUCCAGGGUGAAGUUCAGGUAACACUGAAUGGAGGCCCGAACCCACGCACGUUGAAAAGUGCGGGGAUGAGGUGUGGGUAGCGGAGAAAUUCCAAUCGAACCUGGAGAUAGCUGGUUCUCUCCGAAAUAGCUUUAGGGCUAGCCUCAUGUUGU